CGAGACUCCAUCUCAAAAAAAAAAAAAAAAAAAAGAUUGAAUUUGCAUACUUAAUACAUGUUAAAGCAUUUAUUUGCAUGUAGUUUCUUCUCUCAUUUCAUACUCCAUCUUGAUUUGACAUGCUUUAUAUAUAUACAUAUAUAAUAUAUAUAAGCAUUUAUUUGCAUAUUGUUUUUAAAUUGUAUUUUCAUGAUCACUUUUAUCACUUUUGAUAUUUUUGAGGUGUGUCCAAGGCUUAAAUCGCAUUUGUUUUUGAAGUCUCAACUGGAUUGAGUCUAGGACUGCCAUGUAGCUCAGGGAAUCCGCUUAUGGUCAGGCCUGUGAAACAGCAGGAUGCUCUUUGACUUUGGGCUGAAAGCCUGAGACGGAGGCUUAGCUCCAUUGCUUACAAGCUAUGUGACCUGGGACAAGACUAAGGUUGUCAGCUUUAGCAAACAAAAAUACAGACACCCAGUUACAUUUGAAUUUCAGAUAAACAAUGUAUAUUGUUUAAUGAUUUUGUUUAAUGAUAUAUUGUUUAACGAUAUAUUAAUGAAGAACAAUGAUAUUAAACAAUGACCAGAUAAACAAUGAAUAUAUUUUUUGUGUAAACAUAUCCAAAAUAUUAUAUGGGAAAUACUUAUACUAAAAAAUUAUUUUAUAUGAAAUUAAAAUUUAAUUUAUCUGUGAGAGUUUUCAAGGGAAUCAUAUUUAAUUCUCACAACGCCCCCUGCUGCCCUUUCCCAUUUUUGUCAUGAAAGAGACUGACUCGGAGAGGUUAAGUGACUUAGCCCAAGGUCAUCGAGCUAGAAAAUUAUUGAGCUGGGAUUUGAACUUGGGUGCGUCAACUGUAGCAUGCUCUGCUACUGGAACUCAAGACAGAUAUGUAGCAACCUACUUUUUUUUUUUUUUUUUUUGAGACAGAGUCUCACUCUGAGGCCAGGCUAGAGUGAGGGCAGUGGCACGAUCUCGGCUUACUGCAACUUCUGCCGCCCAGGUUCAAGCGAUUCUCCUGCCUCAGCCUCAUGAGUAGCUAGGAUUACAGGAGCCUGCCACUGCGCCUGGCUAAUUUUUGUAGUUUUAGUAGAGACGGGGUUUCACUAUUUGGCCAGGCUGGUCUUGAACACCUGACCUCGUGAUCCACCCGCCUCAGCCUCCCAAAGUGCUGGGAUUACAGGCGUGAGCCACCGCACCUGGCCUGGCAGUGACCUACUUAAUGAUAGCCUGGGAGCCAUGAGCUAACUUGGUAAGAACAGAAGCUUUCAUGGACUGAGACGGACUUUUGAAUAGGAGUUAGAGAAUUCGAUUUCAAAGUGUUUCUAUGACCCUGUCUGUGUUAGUUUCCUGUUUCUGCCUUAACGAAUGACCACAUAUUUAGUGGCUUAACACAAAUUUAUCUUGCAGCCUCUGGAGGUCAGAAGUCUGAAAUGGUCCAGGUGUCUGCAGAGCUGUGUUCCUUGUGGAGGCUCUAGGAGAGAAUCUGCCUCUUGCCUUUUCCAGCUUCUUAAGGCUUGCGGCAUGUCUUGGAUCGGAGCCACACACUCUGACCUCCGCUUCCAUUAGCACAUUUCCCUCUCUGACGCUGACCCUUCUGCCGCCCUCUUGUAACGACGCUUGUGAUUACAUGGGGCCCACCGGAUAAUCCCGGAUCAUCUCUGAAUCUCAAGAUCCUUAAUCACAUCUGCAAAAUCCUUUUUGCCUUGUAAGGUAACAUAUUUACAGCUUCCGGCGAUUAGGAGGUGGACAUCUGUGGUGGAGAGGUUAUUCUGCCUAUCACACUAAGAGAGAAAUGAUCUAGUUGACUUGAGUGUCCCAGGCCUUAACUAUAAUCCCUUUCAUCUGUAUAGCUUUCACACACAUUCUUUUUUCCACCUUGCAUCCAUCCUGGAAAGUAGAUGAAGGCUGUGCUGAGCCCAUUCUGUGAGGGAGGAAGAUGAAACUCAGAGCGGAGGCCUCGUGCUGGGUGACACAGCUAAAAAGAGACUCAGGCCCAGGGCUUUUGAUUCAGCAUCUGCCCCCUCAGUUCCCAGCCAUGCAUCACUAGAACACUAUUCUCACCGAUGGAGAAGGACAAUUCCUCAGCUACCCCCACAAUUUAGGAAGAAGUCCCCAAGGUGAACCAGCUCCCUCAGCCCUGAAUCUGCCCUCAGAAGGUGGCCUUCUGCCCAGAGCGAGGAUGGAGGGGUGCAGGCAGAGAACCAUUUUUUUGGUGGAGGUCCACGGGACAGAGCCCAGAACUCAAUGUCCAUCCAUCUUGGGCGUGUCCUCCCCAGCAGCCCAGGCUGACUGGACCGGCGCAGGAACUCCUGCAUGCUCAGAGGGAGCCCUGAUUCUUAGAACUGUCUUCUCAUAGCAGUCUUCUUAGGAGUAUGUUGCUGUGGUUUGUGAUUCUGCCCCUGGGUGCUGCUGCAUGGGAGGAGCCAGCUCUCUCCCUGCCCCACAGAUCAUGGAAGGCAGCGACCAUAGGCUCACUGAUGCUCCUGCAGGCUCCCUACACCCAUCCAUUAGGAUGGCCCACAUGUGCCAGCCAGGAAUGGGGGACACAGCCAUGAAGCCGACAGAUAGGCUCCUGCACCUCUGGAACUUGUGCUUUAGCGGGGCAGACAGAUCCCACAGAAGUGUAUGUGUAGGAGUUCUGAGGAUGACAAAAAGGAUGAGGCAAUAGAAGGUGACUGUGACCUUGUGAGACAGGCACUGUCCCCAGUCUAUCACUCUAUUUUUGUUUCUUUGGGUUUUUUUGAAGCAGGGUCUCGUUCUGUCACUCAGGCUGGAGUGCAGUGGUGCAAUCAUAGCUUACUGCAGCCUUGAUCUCCUGGGCUCCAAGCAAGCCCCCUGCUUCAGCCUCCUGAGUAACUAGGACUCCAGACACACACAAACACCACACCCGGCUAAUUUUCAAAAUGUUUAUUUUUAGUACAGACGGGGUCUUACUAUGUGGCCCAGGCUGGUGUCAAGCUCCUGGGCUCAAGUGAUCCUUCUGCUUUGACCUUCCAAAGUGCUGGGAUUGCAUGUGUGAGCCACCAUGCCUAGUUCACUGUCCCCACUCUAAAGCAGACAGCCCAAGUGGGGGCAAAGUUGAGAAGCAAACACACACUGUACUCCAAAGCCUCUGAAAAUCCCUCCUUGUGUCCUUCCUAAGAAGGUCCCAGAGUCUCUGUGUCAUCCCUGAAGCUGAAGUCAGUCCAUUCUGGGAGCAGAGUCCAGCUGUGUCCUGUGUUUGGGGCUAAGAAGAAUGUGAGAUUCCUGCUGAGUGUGAGCUGAGCAAGAGCUUCUGGGACAGCCACGGAGGUGAGCCAUUCCUGUCUCCCUUCAAGAAAGAACUUGCCAUUCACCCUCAAGGAGGGCAGUUAGCUGACAACUUCUAACAAACAUUCUUUGCCCAGAGGACAUGCUGGGUUGGCCAAGACUUUGUUAGAUCUGCAGCACAGUCUGAGGCUCUCCCAGCCCUUUCCUGCUUCCUCUCCCUCACCGGCCUUGCCA
rnacentral:lncRNA from 1 species